rnacentral:rRNA from 1 species
CAGUCGCCACGGUAACACGUAGGGUGCGAGCGUUAAUCGGAAUUACUGGGCGUAAAGCGUGCGCAGGCGGUUUUGUAAGACAGGCGUGAAAUCCCCGGGCUCAACCUGGGAAUGGCGCUUGUGACUGCAAAGCUAGAGUGCGGCAGAGGGGGAUGGAAUUCCGCGUGUAGCAGUGAAAUGCGUAGAUAUGCGGAGGAACACCGAUGGCGAAGGCAAUCCCCUGUGCCUGCACUGACGCUCAUGCACGAAAGCGUGGGGAGCAAACAGGAUUAGAUACCCCAGUAGUCCCUGUCUCUUAUAC